rnacentral:rRNA from 1 species
ACGAGAUCUUCGGGUCUAGUGGCGCACGGGUGCGUAACGCGUGGGAAUCUGCCCUUUGGUUCGGAAUAACAGUUGGAAACGACUGCUAAUACCGGAUGAUGACGUUAAGUCCAAAGAUUUAUCGCCAGAGGAUGAGCCCCGCGUAGGAUUAGCUAGUUGGUGUGGUAAAGGCGCACCAAGGCGACGAUCCUUAGCUGGUCUGAGAGGAUGAUCAGCCACACUGGGACUGAGACACGGCCCAG